rnacentral:misc_RNA from 1 species
AUCAGUUUGUGGUUUGAACCUCUCUGGUUGCUAGUGUAAGAGACCAACUCGCUAGGUUCAAACCACAAACUGAUUUCAUCCUUCGCGGUCUCUGGCCCAUCACUUCCAUGAAUGAUGUUUCUUCCGACAACUACUGCAAGAUCGCCUCUGAUGGUUCCAGGCUCAGACUUUUGUGGGUCCGUGGCGCCAAUAAGUUUUCGACCGUAUUUGAUAACUCCCUCCAUUUCGU